GCCAGCGACGACAGCACGUUGAAUGAAUCAGUUACUAAUGUAUCACUAAAGUUAAGCAACGUUGCGCAGUUAGUAUCCGGAUGGGUGACCAUCCGGCCAAUCGAGUGCUUCUGGCU
rnacentral:rRNA from 1 species